UAUCAAAAUGCAGCUUCUUUUAUUUUCUUGUUUUUGGUUUUUUUUCUCUACUUUCCCUUUCUUUUUCGAAAUGUAGCUAGGGUUUUCCCUUUCUGCUUUCCCUUUCAAAAAACACCAUCGUUGUUCCACUUCAACCAAAAUUGUCCUCCAAUUUGCGAGCAUCAUCCUCGCCCAAUCAUUGAGAAAUAGUAUUGUGAUUAUUCUAUUAGGUCAUUUUCACACUCCUUUAAAUUUGCGACCCCGCAAUCCAUGUCCAUGUAGCUUUGUUUAAGCUUUGUCUAUGAUCAGAGAGACAAGUUUCUAGAAAAUCAAGAUUGGCCGACAAAUUUUGUUAGUCAAUUUGCUGAAGAAGAGAGUGAAGGAAUAGCUAAAAUAGGAAUGCUUCUCAUGUUAUUUGUCUUUGGCUCCAUUGAUCUGCUCUCAGAGGAGAUAAGGAGCAAGUGAGGGAUUGAGUAGAAAAAUGAAACAAAAAGUUUGAGAUCGUAGAGUUACAAGUGAAUGCAGAGAAAAUUGCAGAAAUAAGGAUUUGAAGCUCUCUCUCUCUCUCUCACACACACACAUGCAUAGAGAUAGAGAAAGAGAGAGAGAUAGAGAGAUAGAGAAUCAUUGGUGAUGGAUUGUCCCCCAUUAAUCUUUGAUGACCGCACAAUGUAAAGAUGACGAUGAACACGACGAUGAUAGGUUGAAGUUGGCUUUAUUAUAUUUCCUUGAGACAAUUCUGCUUGGUAAGGAAAGCAUGGCCACUGUACCCCAUGAGCAUUUAGAAAUGGUGGAUGAUUUAAACUGGUUCAAUAAAUAUCUAUUGGGUACUUACUUUAUCGUACAUCACCACCAUCAGAUCGCUAAAAAUUGCUUUUGAGCACAAAGAGUCAAUGGCAGUUAAGUCAAUGACUUAAAGUGUUUGUGAGUUUCUUUUGGCUAUGGCAAGUUUGUGCAACUAUAAUUUAAAGUUUAUUUGAUAACAGUAUAUAUUUAAUUA